AGGGAGGAGGCCUCCGUGACGAUGCUGGGAAGUCAGUCGACUGUCCUGCUCAGGGCCUGUGACUCUGGUCCUGAUCUCUGCUUGUUUUCUAUGCCACAGAGACGAGACUCACUAGGUUUCUGAGUGGACACUAUCUGCUGACCGGACUCACAGAGACCACUCGUAGCAGAAACACAUGAGCAGCGUGGCGAUCGAGUUGGAAAAAGAAAAAAGGCCUUUCCCGUCACUUCUGCCCACGUCUCCACACCCUCUCCAGUGACUGUGCGCCAGUCCCGGGUUCCCGCGGCUCUCGGGCCCACAGAUGCGGGCGGGGACAGCGUCCCCUUUCUGUGUCCUGAGCCUGGCGCACUGUGGAUACUCGGCCGACCUUAACCGGCUCAUGUGACCAUCACAGAGGACGAUCCCAGGCUCCACCUGGGCACCUGUCACAGCAGCGAAACACUGCACCACCACCUGGGGAGCAGGUGGGCUGCUGAAGGGACUGAGUGAAGUCCCCUGGAGCUGACGCAGCAACGUCCCCGUAAAGGUCCAACCUCGGCAGCAAAGGCUUCUUCUAGACUCUCUCCGGAAGGUGCUGGUUACUGGUCUAUGGUCCAGAGGGUGGAGGUACCUUUUUUUCUCCUAGAAGGACAGAUGGUUCUAUGUGCUCUUUGUCUUCUGCGGAGACCUCGCCAGACCUGACUCUCAUCACACCCACCCAAGGUCUAAUUAAGAAUCUCGAAGUCCCUAAAUCCAGAGACUGGUGUUCUUAGAACGAAGAGGGAGGUGUGACCAGGACACUGGGGAGAAGCCCGCGCGGGGACAGAGGAGUAAUGCCGUCACCAGCCAAGAACCACCAGAAACUGGGCGAGGCAGGCAAGCACCUUCCCCAAGAGGCCCUGGUGGGAGUGUGCGCUUGCUGACGCCUUGAUUUUCCACUUCUGGCCUCCAGAACGGCUUCUGCUCGGAACCGAAACCGAAAUCAACCAGAGAAAUUAACAGCCCGAACCAUCCACACUCUCAGAAUCCAUCUGCUCAGCUUCUCAGAAGGCUCCUACCUACUUGAGGCUUUAGGCCGUGCGUCUUAAUUUCACGAUUCACACCUCUGCACCCUCAGAGUUGCGAUGAAGAUAAUUGACUUUGGAGAGAGACUGUAACAGCCUCGGGCUUUUCAAAAAGGCGAAUCCACCUCAAGAAAAGGAAGAGUACACACAGCCCAUCAUUCUACCCCAUUAACAAAAUUAUUUCUCAUUUUCAAAAAUUACCUCUCAAGUAAAAUGACUUUCCUCUGCUCCUAACCGGGGACAGCAGCAACUCUGGGAGGCCGGGAAGAUGCUCACUCAGCAUAUUCCUGAACCCAGAAGUUGUCGGACUUUUGUCAAAGAUCUGAGAGAUCACCACUGA